rnacentral:piRNA from 1 species
UACAGAACCUCAUGGUACGGAACCACCAGUU